UGAGGCAGGAGAAUUGCUUGAACCCAGGAGGUGGAGGUUGCAGUGAGCCGAGAUCGCGCCACUGCACUCCAGCCUGGGCGACAGAGCGAGACUCCGUCUC
ensembl:miRNA